rnacentral:piRNA from 1 species
UUAUGGGUUCACAAUAGACAGAAAAGGGUGU